GUUGGCAUAGUGGUUAAAGCACUCAGCUGCUAAUUGAAAGGUUAGUGGUUCAAACCCACCAC
rnacentral:tRNA from 1 species